rnacentral:rRNA from 1 species
AUUAAUCCAGGAUGGGAUCAUGAGUUCACAUGUCCGCAUGAUUAAAGGUAUUUUCCGGUAGACGAUGGGGAUGCGUUCCAUUAGAUAGUAGGCGGGGUAACGGCCCACCUAGUCAACGAUGGAUAGGGGUUCUGAGAGGAAGGUCCCCCACAUUGGAACUGAGACACGGUCCAAACUCCUACGGGAGGCAGCAGUGAGGAAUAUUGGUCAAUGGGCGAUGGCCUGAACCAGCCAAGUAGCGUGAAGGAUGACUGCCCUAUGGGUUGUAAACUUCUUUUAUAAAGGAAUAAAGUCGGGUAUGCAUACCCGUUUGCAUGUACUUUAUGAAUAAGGAUCGGCUAACUCCGUGCCAGCAGCCGCGGUAAUACGGAGGAUCCGAGCGUUAUCCGGAUUUAUUGGGUUUAAAGGGAGCGUAGAUGGAUGUUUAAGUCAGUUGUGAAAGUUUGCGGCUCAACCGUAAAAUUGCAGUUGAUACUGGAUGUCUUGAGUGCAGUUGAGGCAGGCGGAAUUCGUGGUGUAGCGGUGAAAUGCUUAGAUAUCACGAAGAACUCCGAUUGCGAAGGCAGCCUGCUAAGCUGCAACUGACAUUGAGGCUCGAAAGUGUGGGUAUCAAACAGGAUUAGAUACCCUGGUAGUCCACACGGUAAACGAUGAAUACUCGCUGUUUGCGAUAUACGGCAAGCGGCCAAGCGAAAGCGUUAAGUAUUCCACCUGGGGAGUACGCCGGCAACGGUGAAACUCAAAGGAAUUGACGGGGGCCCGCACAAGCGGAGGAACAUGUGGUUUAAUUCGAUGAUACGCGAGGAACCUUACCCGGGCUUAAAUUGCACUCGAAUGAUCCGGAAACGGUUCAGCUAGCAAUAGCGAGUGUGAAGGUGCUGCAUGGUUGUCGUCAGCUCGUGCCGUGAGGUGUCGGCUUAAGUGCCAUAACGAGCGCAACCCUUGUUGUCAGUUACUAACAGGUGAUGCUGAGGACUCUGACAAGACUGCCAUCGUAAGAUGUG